CGAGGGGGGCAAGUGUUGUUCGGAAUCACUGGGCGUAAAGGGAGCGUAGGCGGAUGUUUAAGUCGGGAGUUUAAAACCGGGGCCCAACCCCGGAGCGGCUCCCGAAACUGGGCAUCUUGAAUAGGUCAGAGGCUGGUGGAAUUGGAGGUGUAGCGGUGGAAUGCGUAGAGAUCUCCAAGAACACCUAUUGCGAAGGCAGCCAGCUGGGACCAUAUUGACGCUGAGGCUCGAAAGCAUGGGGAGCAAAACAGGAUUAGAUACCCUGGUAGUCCAUGCCGUAAACGAUGAACACUAGGUUUUGGGCUCGUCAACGGUCCAGAGCCGCAGCUAACGCGUUAAGUGUUCCGCCUGGGGAAUACGGUCGCAAGACUG
rnacentral:rRNA from 1 species